AUUGAACGCUGGCGGCAGGCCUAACACAUGCACGUCGAGCGGCAGCGGGAAGUAGCUUGCUACUUUGCCGGCGAGCGGCGGACGGGUGAGUAAUGUCUGGGAAACUGCCUGGUGGAGGGGGAUAACUACUGGAAACGGUAGCUAAUACCGCAUAAUGUCGCAAGACCAAAGAGGGGGACCUUCGGGCCUCUUGCCAUCAGAUGUGCCCAGAUGGGAUUAGCUAGUAGGUGGGGUAACGGCUCACCUAGGCGACGAUCCCUAGCUGGUCUGAGAGGAUGACCAGCCACACUGGAACUGAGACACGGUCCAGACUCCUACGGGAGGCAGCAGUGGGGAAUAUUGCACAAUGGGCGCAAGCCUGAUGCAGCCAUGCCGCGUGUAUGAAGAAGGCCUUCGGGUUGUAAAGUACUUUCAGCGGGGAGGAAGGUGUUGAGGUUAAUAACCUCAGCAAUUGACGUUACCCGCAGAAGAAGCACCGGCUAACUCCGUGCCAGCCGCCGCUGUAA
rnacentral:rRNA from 1 species